AGAGAGACUGGGAUGACCAACACUGGUAGGUAGAGAGACUGGGAUGACCAACACUGGUAGGUAGAGAGACUGGGAUGACCAACACUGGUAGGCAGAGAGACUGGGAUGACCAACACUGGUAGGCAGAGAGACUGGGAUGACCAACACUGGUAGGUAGAGACAGACUGGGAUGACCAACACUGGUAGGUAGAGACAGACUGGGAUGACCAACACUGGUAGGCAGAGAGACUGGGAUGGCCAACACUGGUAGGUAGAGUGACUGGGAUGACCAACACUGGUAGGUAGAGAGACUGGGAUGACCAACACUGGUAGGUAGAGACAGACUGGGAUGACCAACACUGGUAGGUAGAGACAGACUGGGAUGACCAACACUGGUAGGUAGAGACAGACUGGGAUGACCAACACUGGUAGGUAGAGACAGACUGGGAUGACCAACACUGGUAGGUAGAGACAGACUGGGAUGACCAACACUGGUAGGUAGAGACAGACUGGGAUGACCAACACUGGUAGGUAGAGAGACUGGGAUGACCAACACUGGUAGGUAGAGAGACUGGGAUGACCAACACUGGUAGGUAGAGACAGACUGGGAUGACCAACACUGGUAGGUAGAGACAGACUGGGAUGACCAACAAUGGUAGGUAGAGACAGACUGGGAUGACCAACACUGGUAGGCAGACAGACUGGGAUGACCAACACUGGUAGGUAGAGACAGACUGGAUGACCAACACUGGUAGCUUGGCAUGUAAAGGCGAGGAAGAUGCCAAUGCCACUACAGUAUAUCUCCAUGGAAGUAUGAACCCCCAUAGCUAGCUACAGUUGGGCUCAAUUCCAUUUCAAUUCCAGUCAAUUCAGGAAGUAAAAGUA
ensembl:lncRNA